AGGGGUAUGUCUCAGUCGUACAGUUCAUGCUUGGUAUGCAGGAAGUCCGGGGUUCAAUCCCCAGUGCCUCCA
rnacentral:tRNA from 1 species